UUUAAUUGAAGAGUUUGAUCAUGGCUCAGAUUGAACGCUGGCGGCAGGCCUAACACAUGCAAGUCGGGCGGUAACAGGGAGAAGCUUGCUUCUCCGCUGAC
rnacentral:rRNA from 1 species